UACGAAGGGGCUAGCGUUGUUCGGAAUUACUGGGCGUAAAGGGCGCGUAGGCGGCUGUGCAAGUCAGAUGUGAAAGCCCUGGGCUCAACCCAGGAUGUGCAUUUGAUACUGCACGGCUAGAGUGUCGGAGAGGGAUGGUGGAAUUCCCAGUGUAGAGGUGAAAAUUCGUAGAUAUUGGGAAGAACACCGGUGGCGAAGGCGACCAUCUGGACGACAACUGACGCUGAGGCGCGAAAGCGUGGGGAGCAAACAGG
rnacentral:rRNA from 1 species